UUAUGUAGAUGGUAUCAGAGU
rnacentral:miRNA from 1 species